rnacentral:rRNA from 1 species
GAUGAACGCUGGCGGCGUGCCUAAUACAUGCAAGUCGAGCGAAUGGAUUAAGAGCUUGCUCUUAUGAAGUUAGCGGCGGACGGGUGAGUAACACGUGGGUAACCUGCCCAUAAGACUGGGAUAACUCCGGGAAACCGGGGCUAAUACCGGAUAACAUUUUGAACCGCAUGUUUCGUAACUGAAAGGCGGCUUUGGCGCUCACUUAUGGAUUGACCCGCGUCGCAUUAGCUAGGUGGUGAGGUAACGGCUCACAAAGGCAACGAUGCGUAGCCGACCUGGGAGGGGGAUCGGCCACACUGGGACUGAGACACGGCCCAGACUCCUACGGGAGGCAGCAGUAGGGAAUCUUCCGCAAUGGACGAAAGUCUGACGGAGCAACGCCGCGUGAGUGAUGAAGGCUUUCGGGUCGUAAAACUCUGUUGUUAGGGAAGAACAAGUGCUAGUUGAAUAAGCUGGCACCUUGACGGUACCUAACCAGAAAGCCACGACUAACUACGUGCCAGCAGCCGCCGCCG